AGCAUGGGUCUGGCUGGCUUGCUCCCAAGGGAAUCUGGCAGGUGGUAGCCAUAAGUUAGUUCUGCAAUCUGAAAAGUCACAACACUUGGCCUCCAGAGGAAUGCUAGGCACUUAUGUACACACUAGCUGCCACUGAAAAUUUCUCACUGGGCUCUAUGCCAGAAUCCUUCUCUGAGCCAUCUCCUCACCAGUACACAGAAAUAACAAGCUCUAGCAAUACCAGGGAGGAAUGCCAGAACUUACAUGCUUGACAACUGUACCAUCAGCUUACGGGACAAAACCACAGAACCUCCAAGUUGGAGUGAGAGUGAGAAAUGAUGGUAAUCUAGUUAAAUUUCUGCUUACCUGAAGAUUCAGGAAUGCUGAGUCCAUCCUGUGCACUCAAUAUCACUUCUUGAUUCCCCCUACUCUGUUUUCAUGAACCACAUAUUUCUAGCUCAUUUCAAUUCUAUUCACAAAUAUUGACCCCUUGAUAUAUAUGCUAUGGCCCUGAGAUGAAAAAAAUGAAUAGAAUGUAGUUUCCACUCCUCGGAGUUCACAGGCUCUGGGGAAAACAAGUCAUGAAAAUAAAUAGAGCAAGCUGCUAAGUGCUAUUGAGUGCACUGGAACACCAUUUAUGACACUAGUUAGGAACAAAAUUAGGUUUGUUUAUUUUAUUCUUUUACAAGUAUCUCCUGAGGACAGGAGGGAGGUGGAGGUGGUGGUGGUGAUUGUGGUGAACGACAUGGAAGUCCUAGUCCUAGCCUUAUUUAAAUUAGGUUUUUCCAAUGAUUAUUUUCAAGAAAUACUGGAGAAUGACCAGAUAGUUAUAAGAUCCCAGAGAAGAUGGGAGGAGGAUGGUAAACUAAAUAGAAAAAAAUACCUUCUUCUCGCUGCAGUUCAUGCUGUUAAUCACGCCCUUCUUGGAUCCUAUUUCACUCUCUCGAUUCUUCUCCCAUCUUAUUAAAUCAGUCAAAAAUAUACAAGGUCUCUACUAGUUAUUUGACAGUCAUCUUAGGCUCUGCUUCCCCCCCUCAUCCCUUAAAUUGUGUUUCCUAGAGCUGUACACUAUGUUUCUCUUGCUCUACUCUUUUUCUAAGCCAUCUUGUGCAUUCCUGUGGAUUCCUAUGGCUGUAACUACCAUCCAAAUGAGUAAUUCCAUAUCUGUAACUGCAGUUUUGUAGUCUUCCUUGAGCACCAAAACGUAAGUGUUUACUGGAAACCUUAACCUCAUUGCCCCAUGGGAAGCUCAAAACUCAGUUUAUACAAGGCUAAUUGUCUUUAUUCACAAAAUUCAUCACCUUCCUUCUAGUUUCCCCUUUCCCUCAAUCUUGGUUAGAGGAACGUCCCAAUAUACUCACUUGUUCAAGCAGAAACCUGGGCAUUAGCCUCUACUUCUCUCUUCUCCUUCCAUCAUCCAUUGAGUCCUAUUAAUUUUACCGCCUGAGUGUCUCUCAAAUCUGCCCUUUCCUCUCUAUCUUCACUGCUAUAGCCCUAUAGCCUUGUUUCAGUCCCUCAUCAUCUCUCUCCUAUACCAGGGGACCAUUUGGCUACUCAUAUCCCCCACCAAACUUUAAGCUCCUUAAAGAGAGAGACACUGUUUUCCUCGUUUUUUGAACCGUGCCUGACCUCUUUCCCCAAAUGCUGCUGGACACAGCGCUUUGCAUGUUUGUUGAAUGAAGAAUAAAUGGAGGCCCUGUAAGGUUAUGAUUACAUAAAAUCCACAGUUUCAACUCGCUGGAAUUUGUUUUAUCCACUUUCCUUCUUUAGAAGUGAUGGUUCUGCUCUUGUAACAAUCUACUAUUCUAACCUAAAAUUUAUCAGAGCUAUAAUUAAUCCCAACAGUUUGCUUUGCUAAUGGGAAAAAAAAAGAGAGAGAGACAGACCGCACUUUAGAAAUAGAAGCCACUGUUGUCUUUAUAAAACACAGAAUUGUGCUGCUGUUGUUGCUUGCUUCAGAAGGAACUGUACAUUACAGCUGCUGGGAUAAUUUUACAAUGGACUGGACAAGGUACAGCUCAAAGCAGGACACAAACACAAGUCUCAAAGGGAAACAAAUGCAAACAAGUACACAGCUGUGGGGCUCCAGGGACAUUUCCCCAUCCAUGCUGGACUUGAGAGGGAUAAAAAGUUUAGAAACUAAUGUGAAACCCAGAGUAGUCACACACGCCCACCAGACGGCUGCUAAGUGCCAACAUCACACACCAAUCAGGUUGGACUGUGUGCACAGGAAAGUCAUUUCAUUUUUCCUUAUUGCUACUACACCAGGGGACUCAGUGCAUUCGACACAUUGUCUUUACUUGCACAAUCCUUGGAGGGUUUCCUAUUUUCCUUUUUAAAGAAGGAAAUCUGCCUUCCCCACCUUAUUCUGGUUUUUUUGUUUUGUUUUUAGCCCAUUCCCUCCACUCCCUUUCAUGGGCUCCCAAACAGCAGCCAGAGGUUCUAAGUCAGUAGGAGUAGAGUAAGAGGAGAGCACCAACCUAGCCUCCCUCCCUGCCCAGGGAGAAGGCAAGUCCUAAUAAAUGGGGGGAAAGAGAAAACCAGAGAAUCCCUUUACCCCAAUCUGCUUAGAAGGCCAAAUAGGAAAGAGUGCCCUGCAUAUCCCUGCCAUGAUCAGACUUUAAGAAGGAAGGCAUCCCAGCUACCAUCCUGAAUUGGCCUAAGCCCAGUAAAUAUAAAUAAAAAUAACUCCCCCUGAUGUAGUUUCCAAAACUGCAUUUUGGCUAGUUUGAGAUGACUUUCUACCCUGAAGGGGAAGGAACUUCCAUCCUUCUUUGUUACACAUGAUGCCAGGUCUAAAACACUGUCCCACCAGCCUUGCAGACGUCCUGUGGGCCAGCUAAGAAGUCAAAGUGUCCCCUCGGCUGCCCAUCUUGAGUGCUAGCCUCAUUUACAGAAUUCUGGAUCAGAAAAAGAAGACUAUCCAAGAACACUGUUGCUUGGCCAAAGAGGAGGCCACAGAGGAGCUAUCUAGUAGGUAGGAACCAGAAGCUUUUUAGGGAGGUUUCACACUUUUAGGUACCUUCUUCUUCAGCAUUAUUCUAAGCCUAAGUUCCCAGCAACAACAGCCCCAGGCUUAUCCCCAGAGGCCAGCAAUAGCACCUCAACCCCCAAUGGGUCAGGCUGGACUAGAAAAAUGAUCAAUGAGCAGUGCUCUCCUUUCCCACCUUUUAUCCAAAUUCUCUCCAUUUUCUUCCCAUCACUCUCUUCUUCCCCCAUGUCCAUUCUCUAACCCUCCAACCCCGGAUACCCAAGUAGCUUAACCCUAGGAAAUUCUCAGA